AACGAACGCUGGCGGCAUGCCUAACACAUGCAAGUCGAACGAGACCUUCGGGUCUAGUGGCGCACGGGUGCGUAACGCGUGGGAACCUGCCCUUAGGUUCGGAAUCACUCCCCGAAAGGUGUGCUAAUACCGGAUAAUGUCUUCGGACCAAAGAUUUAUCGCCUUUGGAUGGGCCCGCGUUGGAUUAGCUAGUUGGUAGGGUAAAAGCCUACCAAGGCGACGAUCCAUAGCUGGUCUGAGAGGAUGAUCAGGCACACUGGGACUGAGACACGGCCCAGACUCCUACGGGAGGCAGCAGUGGGGAAUAUUGGACAAUGGGCGAAAGCCUGAUCCAGCAAUGCCGCGUGAGUGAUGAAGGCCUUAGGGUUGUAAAGCUCUUUUACCCGGGAUGAUAAUGACAGUAACGGGAGAAUAAGCUCCGGCUAACUCCGUG
rnacentral:rRNA from 1 species